UACAGAGGGGGCAAGCGUUGUUCGGAAUUACUGGGCGUAAAGCGCGUGUAGGCGGCUUUGCAAGUCGGGUGUGAAAUCCCACGGCUCAACCGUGGAAGUGCACUCGAAACUGCAAGGCUAGAGUCCUGGAGAGGAAGGUGGAAUGCUUGGUGUAGAGGUGAAAUUCGUAGAUAUCAAGCGGAACACCGGUGGCGAAGGCGGCCUUCUGGACAGUGACUGACGCUGAGACGCGAAAGCGUGGGGAGCAAACAGG
rnacentral:rRNA from 1 species